GAAAGGCUAAACAAACUCGGAGAUAGCUGGUUCUCCCCGAAAACUAUUUAGGUAGUGCCUCGAGAAUGAGACUGAUGGGGGUAAAGCACUGUUAUGGCUAGGGGGUUAUUGCAACUUACCAACCCAUGGCAAACUAAGAAUACCAUCAAGUUGCUCCUCGGGAGACAGACAGCGGGUGCUAACGUCCGUUGUCAAGAGGGAAACAACCCAGACCGCCAGCUAAGGUCCCAAAUGAUAGAUUAAGUGGUAAACGAAGUGGGAAGGCCCAGACAGCCAGGAUGUUGGCUUAGAAGCAGCCAUCAUUUAAAGAAAGCGUAAUAGCUCACUGGUCGAGUCGUCCUGCGCGGAAGAUGUAACGGGGCUCAAAUCUAUAACCGAAGCUGCGGAUACGUGUUUACACGUAUGGUAGGGGAGCGUUCUGUAGGCCGAAGAAGGUGCAUUGAGAAGUGUGCUGGAGGUAUCAGAAGUGCGAAUGUUGACAUGAGUAGCGAUAAAGCGGGUGAAAAGCCCGCUCGCCGAAAGCCCAAGGUUUCCUACGCAACGUUCAUCGGCGUAGGGUGAGUCGGCUCCUAAGGCGAGGCAGAAAUGCGUAGUCGAUGGGAAACAGGUUAAUAUUCCUGUACUUUGAUUCAAUGCGAUGUGGGGACGGAGAAGGUUAGGUUAGCAAACUGUUGGAAUAGUUUGUUUAAGCCGGUAGGUGGAAGACU
rnacentral:rRNA from 1 species